rnacentral:rRNA from 1 species
GAUGAACGCUGGCGGCGUGCCUAAUACAUGCAAGUCGAGCGAACGGACGAGAAGCUUGCUUCUCUGAUGUUAGCGGCGGACGGGUGAGUAACACGUGGAUAACCUACCUAUAAAACUGGGAUAACUUCGGGAAACCGGAGCUAAUACCGGAUAAUAUUUUGAACCGCAUGGUUCAAAAGUGAAAGACGGUCUUGCUGUCACUUAUAGAUGGAUCCGCGCUGCAUUAGCUAGUUGGUAAGGUAACGGCUUACCAAGGCAACGAUGCAUAGCCGACCUGAGAGGGUGAUCGGCCACACUGGAACUGAGACACGGUCCAGACUCCUACGGGAGGCAGCAGUAGGGAAUCUUCCGCAAUGGGCGAAAGCCUGACGGAGCAACGCCGCGUGAGUGAUGAAGGUCUUCGGAUCGUAAAACUCUGUUAUUAGGGAAGAACAUAUGUGUAAGUAACUGUGCACAUCUUGACGGUACCUAAUCAGAAAGCCACGGCUAACUACGU